UACGUAGGGGGCGAGCGUUGUCCGGAUUUACUGGGCGUAAAACGCUUGUAGGCGGCCACGCCAAGUCGGAUGUGAAAUCUCCCGGCUUAACUGGGAGCGGUCAUUCGAUACUGGCGGGCUCGAGGCAGGUAGGGGGAAGCGGAAUUCCCGGUGUAGUGGUGGAAUGCGUAGAUAUCGGGAGGAACACCAGUGGCGAAGGCGGCUUCCUGGACCUGUUCUGACGCUGAGGAGCGAAAGCGUGGGGAGCGAUCCGG
rnacentral:rRNA from 1 species